rnacentral:ncRNA from 1 species
UUUCAGGGCAGGGUGCAAUUCCCGACCGGUGGUGAGGCCGCAAGGCGCAGUCCACGAGCGAAAGCUGAAUUGGCGCGAUUCCAAUACCGACAGUACAGUCUGGAUGAAAGAAGAU